UACGUAGGGGCCGAGCGUUGUCCGGAGUUAUUGGGCGUAAAGCGCGCGCAGGCGGCCUCGCGCGCCCGACGUGAAAGCCCCCGGCUUAACCGGGGAGAGUCGUUGGGGACGGCGGGGCUUGAGGGCGGGAGAGGGUGGUGGAAUUCCCGGUGUAGUGGUGAAAUGCGUAGAGAUCGGGAGGAACACCCGUGGCGAAGGCGGCCACCUGGGCCGACCCUGACGCUGAGGCGCGAAGGCGUGGGAGCGAACGGG
rnacentral:rRNA from 1 species